AAUAGGUCGCGUGAUAGGAGAGCGUUCUAAGGGCGGUGAAGCUAGAUCGUAAGGACUAGUGGAGCGCUUAGAAGUGAGAAUGCCGGUAUGAGUAGCGAAAGAUCAGUGAGAAUCUGAUCCACCGAAUGACUAAGGUUUCCUGGGGAAGGCUCGUCCUCCCAGGGUUAGUCGGGACCUAAGUCGAGGCCGUAAGGCGUAGACGAUGGCCAACAGGUUGAUAUUCCUGUACUAGUAAGAUGUGUUUGAGCGAUGGAGGGACGCAGGAGGCUAAGCCGUGCGCACUGUUGGAUAUGUGCGUUCAAGCAGCAAGUCUGGUUGUUAGUUAAAUGCUUACAACCGGGUAGACAAGCUGUGAUGAGGACCGAAUUUAAGUAGGGAAGUGGCUGACGUCACACUGCCGAGAAAAGCUUCUAGUGAGUAUCUUACUACCCGUACCGCAAACCGACACAGGUAGUCGAGGAGAGUAUCCUAAGGUGAGCGAGUGAACUCUUGUUAAGGAACUCGGCAAAAUGACCCCGUAACUUCGGGAGAAGGGGUGCUGCACGCAAGUGCAGCCGCAGUGAAGAGGCCCAGGCGACUGUUUAUCAAAAACACAGGUUUCUGCAAAAUCGUAAGAUGACGUAUAGGGGCUGACGCCUGCCCGGUGCUGGAAGGUUAAGUGGAUGAGUUAGCUUCGGCGAAGCCCAGAAAUGAAGCCCCAGUAAACGGCGGCCGUAACUAUAACGGUCCUAAGGUAGCGAAAUUCCUUGUCGGGUAAGUUCCGACCCGCACGAAAGGCGUAACGAUCUGGGCACUGUCUCAACAAGAGACUCGGUGAAAUUAUAGUACCUGUGAAGAUGCAGGUUACCCGCGACAGGACGGAAAGACCCCAUGGAGCUUUACUAUAGCUUGAUAUUGGGUGUUGACACAACUUGUACAGGAUAGGUCGGAGCCGUAGAAACCGGAACGCUAGUUUCGGUGGAGGCGCUGGUGGGAUACGACCCUUGUUGUGUGAACACUCUAACCCGCGCCAC
rnacentral:rRNA from 1 species